CCUACGGGAGGCAGCAGUGGGGAAUAUUGGGCAAUGGGCGAAAGCCUGACCCAGCAACGCCGCGUGAAGGAUGACUGCCCUACGGGUUGUAAACUUCUUUUAUAAAGGAAUAAAGUGAGGCACGUGUGCCUUUUUGUAUGUACUUUAUGAAUAAGGAUCGGCUAACUCCGUGCCAGCAGCCGCGGUAAUACGGAGGAGCCGAGCGUUAUCCGGAUUUAUUGGGUUGAAAGGGAGCGUAGACGGGUUGUUAAGUCAGUUGUGAAAUUUUGCGGCUCAACCGUAAAAUUGCAAUUGAUACUGGCAGUCUUGAGUACAGGUGAGGUAGGCGGAAUUCGUGGUGUAGCGGUGAAAUGCUUAGAUAUCACGAAGAACACCGAUUGCGAAGGCAGCUUACUAAACUGCCACUGACAUUGAUGCUCGAAAGUGUGGGUAUCAAACAGGAUUAGAUACCCGAGUAGUC
rnacentral:rRNA from 1 species